UUUCCGUAGGUGAACCUGCGGAAGGAUCAUUAUUGAAUGAAACACUUCUGGCUUUCUGCUGUUGUGCUGGCCCUUUGGGCAAUGUGCAAACGGCUCUGGUCACUUGUUUCUUCUGUUCCACCUGUGCACUGCCUGUAGACACGCUGUGUCUAUGAUAUUUGUUAACACACAACAAUGUUAGUUGGCAUGUUAUAUAUAAUAAUAAAAUAUACAACUUUCAACAACGGAUCUCUUGGCUCUC
rnacentral:misc_RNA from 1 species